CCGUUAGGCAUCUUCUUGUCGUUACUGCUGACCGCGGCUUUCCUCUGCUUCCUGAACCUUAGAGGCACAAGACGAGUUAGGUCUCAGCACAGCAGGGUCCCCCCAAGCCCCAAGCGUGGUGAUACCCACCAGGAGCUGGUUAGAGCACGUCAGUGCCUGGGGACACUCCUACCUGAAGAAGUAGGCUGCAAGGAGGAGCAAGAGGAGGAGCAGAGGCAGCAGCAGCCAGCACAAUCACAAUGAAGCUGGUGCAGUGGCGCCAGCACUCCAGGAGGCAGAGGAAGCCGAAUCUCUGUGAGUUCGAGGCCAGCCUGGUCUACAAAGCAAGUCCAAGACAGCCAAGGCUACACAGAGAAACCCUGCUUUGAAAAAAUAAUCACAGUGAGGGAGUUGGGGGGGGGGUUGGAGCAUCAGCAUUGCUGGCUGUCAGAGGCUGGCCAGAUGACUGAGUGGUGCUUGCUUCCUGCUGACUGCAGCAAAUGCCAGUGCUGGGGAGUGCUGCUGUGCUCUGAAGACUGUCCGGCCCGCUUGUCUAUGUAAUACUCACUGCAUUGCCAACCAAGGGCACCACGUGAGUCAGGGCAGGGAGGCACAGAGGGGUUCAGUGAGUCGAUCCAGGUCACUCAGCUAAUAAGUGGUGAGACGGGAUUUAAACCCAGGUGGCGAGAGUUGAGAAGACCCACUUUUGUUUGCUUGUUCUCUCCCUUUCCACAUCCUCUUCAUCACUUUGGCUUUGCAUAAUAUUUAUUCAUUUAAUUGAGAUUAAAUUUACUCAUCAUAAAGUGAA